UACGUAGGGUCCGAGCGUUGUCCGGAAUUAUUGGGCGUAAAGGGCACGUAGGCGGUCUGUUGCGUCGGGAGUGAAAACUUACAGCUUAACUGUGAGCGUGCUUUCGAUACGGGCAGACUUGAGGCAUUCAGGGGAGAACGGAAUUCCUGGUGUAGCGGUGAAAUGCGCAGAUAUCAGGAGGAACACCAAUGGCGAAGGCAGCUCUCUGGGACGGUACUGACGCUGAGACGCGAAAGCGUGGGGAGCGAACAGG
rnacentral:rRNA from 1 species